rnacentral:rRNA from 1 species
CCUACGGGAGGCAGCAGUGAGGAAUAUUGGUCAAUGGCCGGAAGGCUGAACCAGCGAUGCCGCGUGAAGGUCAGUGCCCUAUGGGCGUUAAACUUCUUUUGUGCGGGAGCAAUAAUGGUCACGUGUGGCCAGACGAGAGUACCGUACGAAUAAGCAUCGGCUAACUCAGUGCCAGCAGCCGAGGUAAUACGGGGGAUGCAAGCGUUAUCCGGAUUUACUGGGGGUAAAGGGGGCGUACACGGUCAGACAAGUCAGAAGUGAAAGCCCAGGGCCCAACCCUGGGACUGCUUUUGAAACUGCCGGGCUGGAGUGCAGGAGAGGUAAGCGGAAUUCCUAGUGUAGCGGUGAAAUGCGUAGAUAUUAGGAGGAACACCAGUGGCGAAGGCGGCUUACUGGACUGUAACUGACGUUGAGGCUCGAAAGCGUGGGGAGCAAACAGGAUUAGAUACCCUUGUAGUC